GACCCGCACAUCCUCCGCGCAGCUUCGGCACGGCGCAGUGUCAGCCAAUGAGGAGAGCGAGUGCUUCCAGUAGCCAAUAAAAAUCGAUAUGUAAAUCACCUCGGAGAGUUGGUGUACGCUGAUGGGACCAGGACCUUGGUGCCUGGGUAACGAGCUGGAGGCGAGGUGACCUGGAGAUUGUAUUAUUUUUUAGGUAAUCCCUACACCCAACGUGGGGCUUGAGCUCACAACCUGGAGAUCAAGAGUAGCAUGCUCCACCAACUGAGCCAGCCAGGCAACCCUAUCUAUGAGAUUUCUUAAGAACAAUAUAAUUUUGUAAUUUGACAAGGACCUGCACCUCUACCUUAUGCAUGCUUUAGUGUAUGUCUUUCUGAUAAGGGACAAGGAGUUAAUGAUUUCUUUGGAGUCUUCCAGCAGAGUAGAUAACAUCUAAGGAGUGACCAGGCAAGAAUGAGCAGAAGGCUGAUUGGUAACACACAUCAUCCAGGGAACCUAUGUUUUGAUACAAGGGAACCUAUAUUUUGAUACAAGAAUAUUUUUCUCUAAGAUGAAUCAUGAUUGACUUCUUCUUUGAUCUCCUACCCUUCUUUCUUACAAAGGCAAAGUUUGGUGUCAAGAAGAACAUAUGAACUUAGUAUGAGGAAAGUAGGCUUUACACCCAGUGUGGAGUGCAGUGUGGGGCUUGAAGUCACAGCCCUGAGAUCAAGACCUGAGCUGAGAUUAAGAGUUGAAUGCUAAAUGACUGAGCCAUCCAGGUACCCUGGAGCGUGAAUCUGAUGUGGACCUUCCUCCACCUUCUCUUCCUGGAGCAAACUCUUCACCCCAGGCCUGCUCUCCUUUACAAAACAUACAGACAACACCAGGUCCUGGGUCCCUGGAGGACACCACCGAUACUGUGAGGUGAUGGUGAGGUGAUGGUGGCUGAUGCACAGGGGUAAAUGCAAGAUGAUCAACACCUUCAUUCAUGAGGAUGUGGCCACGUUGGCAUAUUUCUGCAGAAUUCCACCUCUGCCCUCUACCAACAGCUGCUGCGUGCACAACGGUCACAAAAGUACUCACGAUGUCAGUGUGCUUUGCCGCAUAGGAACCAGACCCCUGCACUGCUAUUACCACCUUAGGCCCAUCCCUGUAGGCUGUGAGGACGGGGCACCUGUUCACCUGGAUGGCUAGAUGACUCCUGCACCUCACACAGGAAGCUAAGUGACUUGCACCCCACACCUCCAAACGUUUGAGGCCCUGGCCAAAGACUUCCCUGUAAUGCUUCUCCCCUCGUAUAGGGGUCUCUCAUUGUAACCAUUCAUGUGCACUUCCUGCAUCUCUCUCCCAGCCUCUGCCCCCAAAUCACCACUCCACUGGACACGCCGGCCACGGUGUCAUUUUUUUUUGGUGCAAGAUAAAAUGGGGGUGGAGGAGUUGGGGAGAGCCUGGGUAAUGGGCAUCUACUGUGGAAAAGCCUUGCUCUCACUGGGUGGCUACACAGGCCCCGCUGGCCGGGCAGAUUUGCCCACAAGGUGCUCUGGUAACAACUCGCAGUGGCACUGGCCCUAGGCAGCCCUGAGUGGUCCGGCUCACAAGGUCUUUCUUCCCCACCUUCAGCUCCCUUCUCCCCAGCGGGCUCCUGCGGAGGGGAUUAGGGACAACAUCCAACGGGGGAAGCCCGCUGCCUUUCCAGAAACAAAGCCCUGAAGCUGGGAAACAGCACUGGAAGGAGCCGCUACCUGGAGGAGAGAAGUGGUGAAGCAGGGACUCUGGCAGGUGCUCGCGGCCGCCUCAUUGGCCCGCAGGGGGCGCUGCGCCACCUGAAUCCGUUGGCCAAGCACAGAGACCAGAAAUUUUUCCUGGGUUGGUGGGUUGGAAGUUUUGUGGUUACAAACACACGGCUGGGGGAUAACAGGUGAAGAAGCAGAAAAUUCAGCCGAUAUGAUUACAGUCUAACUUUCAAAGAACAGAUUUCUGAAUUUUAUCAUAACUUUCAUGCUCUCAUGCUCUUUAGUAUUGAAUUUACCACCUUCAGAUUUACAUUCCAGCACUGUAGAUAUGAAGGAAAGAAAAGAUUAAGUACAGAGCAGCUACUUAUGCUAUAAGCUUUACAGUUUCACUGUACUGGAAAAGAGUUUGUUUCAUUUUUUUUUUAAUUUUUAAUGUUCAUUUAUUUUUGACAGAGAGACAGAGAGCAAGUAGGAGAGGGGCAGAGAGAGAGGGAGACACAGAAUCCGAAGCAGGCUUCAGGCUCUAAGCUCUAACCCACAAAUCAUGACCUGACCCCGUCAGGGUCAUGACCUGACGCGAAGUCAGAUGCCCAACAAACCGAGUCACCCAGGCGCCCCAGUUUGUUUAAUCUUGUAAUCUAUUGUAUACACACUUCAUUUCUUUUCUUUGUUUUUCUUUUUUUAAAAGUGUGCACCAUGCCCAAAGACCCCUGAGAUCAAGAGUUGCAUGCUUUAUCCUUGGAGCCGUCCAGGUGCCCCUACACAAUCCAUUUCUGAAGGCAGUUUUUCUACCCGCAAGAGGGAGAAUCUGUAGGUGACUUUCUUCUCUACCCUGUGACUCCACCAAAAUCGUGUCAAGGCUUUAAGUCAAAGGAAGGCACCUGACUCUAGGGCAGCCAUCCAUGGACUGACAGGCUGGGUGCCCAUGAAAGAAACUGGUCUGGAGAUUUUACUGUCCUGGAAUAAGGUUGACAAAACUGGAUACUCUUAUUUUCAUUUCCCCCCAUAAUUCCAGGAGCUGUGAUUGUAUUGUCUUCGUUUGUGACCUUUAGCACAUAGCCUAUUGCUUGCUAUAAGAGAGCUUUCAAUAAAUCUUUAAUGGGCCAUUGUAAUAGGUCCUGCUGGUGCUAAGGAUUUUUUGCAGAUUCUGUUUUCAGAAUGGGAAAGUUCCCUUCCCUUCUGCUCUCCGUUGCCACCUGUAAAUGGAUUGUGAAUUUGUUGAAUAAUUUUUCUUCAUCUGAUGACACAGUCAUAUACUAUUUCCGUCCUAAUCAGUUAAUGGAGUGGAAUUGAAUAAAAUUUCUGGACAUAAGCAACUCCAUUUUGAAGCUCUAUUUUCCUUGUCAACUAAUGAACUCUUGGACUGGGCCAGAAGCCACAAUGGUUUUACAAGCAGUUCCUCAUAAAAUUUCAAAUGAGCAACUGGCAUUAGGAUCAUGUGAGGACAGGAGAGUUAAUUAAUACAUACCAGUGACCGUUUCAUUUGAUAGCACCAAUAAAGUAAUCAGUAAGAUAGUAAUCAGAAGCGGUUCAAUCAAUUAGCACCAAAUUACCUGUUUUUUUCUUCCUUCUCUUAUCUAAAGCAUGUAAUUACCCCUUCCUUCUUUCUCAUAAAAAACCCCCAGUUUUCCCCACCUGAGGGGGCACUUUUCUGGUUACCCUUAAAUCUAGUCCCACAUUGUAACUCUGAGACCCCAAAUAAAAGCCUUUGCUCUUCUUCUUUUUCUUUUAAAAUUUAUUUAUUUGAGAGAGAAAGAGAAAAAGAGAACGGGGUAGGGGCAAAGAGAGAGGAGAGAGAGAAUCUCAAGCAGGAUCUGCAUUGUCAGGGAAGAGCCUGAUUCCAGGCUCUAUCCCACAAACCACAAAAUCAUGACCUGAGCAGAAAUCAAGAGUCAGAUGUUCAAUGGACUGAGCCACCCAGGUGCCCCACCUUUGUUCUUUUUCACUUCUGCCUUAUUUUCUUGGUUAAUUCUGGGUGAAUUGCAUUAGUUGAUUUUAGACUAUUAGACCAGCUUUGAGAUAAAUCCAUUUUGGUUAUGCUAAACUGUCUUUUUAUAUAUAAAUGAAUUUACUUUGCUAAUA